AUGGCGGCCGAGGAGCCGGCGGAGGAGCCGCCCGAGGAGCUGGCGCACGCCGAGGUGCUGGAGCUGUUCCAGGCGGCGCUGGCGCGGCUGGUGCAGGACCCGCUGCUCUGCGACCUGCCCCCGCAGGUGACGGCGGAGGAGAUCGGCUCGCAGGUGGCCCUGGAGUACGGGCAGGCCAUGACGGUGCGGGUGUGCAAGGCGGACGGCGAGAUCGUGCCCGUGGUGGUGGUGCAGAACGCCUCGGUGCUGGAGCUGAAGAAGGCGCUGCGGCGGCACAUGCAGCUGAGGCAGGCCCGGCAGGGCGGAGUGCAGCACCUGAGCUGGAAAUACAUCUGGAGGACGUACCACCUCACCUACAAUGGAGAGAAGCUGGCGGAUGACAGGAAGAAGCUGAGAGAGUAUGGCAUCAGGAACCGGGAUGAGGUCAGCUUCAUAAAGAAGCUGCGCAAGUAACCUGUGGGGUAAGUCCCAGAUGUCCAUUAGGAACUGCCAGUUCCCCAUCUUCCCCAGGCCAUGGUGGUGAGGCUCAGAGCUGCUGCUGCUGCUGCUCUCUGUUGGCUGGCAGAGGAUUUCUGAAUGUCUGCAGGAGGCUGGGGUCUGUUUCCAGAUCCUGGUAGUGUUGGCUGUGCUCCUUGGGCAGGGAAUGGUAACUCAGCUACUUCAGGUGACAGACACUGGGAGCAGCAGCAAUAACUGACUCUAUGUUUAGACUCUCAAUCUGCUUCUACAUUGUCUUGAGACUCUUUAAACACAGUGUUCCUUUGCUGCUUCUAGGACUUGCUUUCUUUUAGGCUUUUUAAAUGUCUGGAAAUCAUUGUCAUCAGCCAGGAUCAUGGCUGGGUUUCUAACUCAUGCAGACAUAAUUCUGGUAUUAAUACUGCUGUUAUGAGAAAGUUGUGCACACAAACACAAGAUGUGGCCAAGACUCUCAGGCUUAGUAAGUUUUAAAUUAUGUUUUUAAAAGCAAUCCCAGUGGCUGAAGAACAGGGUAAGAGCAGCUUGUCCAAAGCCUUGUGUUGUUAUGCUGCUCCAGGUAGCUGGGUUAAAAACUGUUCUUUUUUGACCACAGUUACCUUUUAUUCUUCUUUCAACACUGCCAUAUUUUCAAGAUCCAGUGUAAUAAAAUGUGUGCCCUAACAACAGCCACCUGUUCCAGGGCGCCUGUGACCAGCAGUCACCUCUGGCACUGGCUGAUCCCUCCUGGACCAUCAUGGCAGUGUGAGAGAGCAGAGAAUCCAGCCCUACCAAGACUAGACUGUGGAUUCAGCACCUUCCUGGAAGAAAAGGUUGUUCCACUUCAAAGAGGAACAAACUCCAAUGACUGGACAUUCUCACGUUUUUUACAGUUGCUGUUUGUGGUGUUUGCCUCUGAGCUGUAUGUGGAUUCCAGGGAUUAAAGAGACCCUCUAGUUUUC